GACGAACGCUGGCGGCGUGCUUAACACAUGCAAGUCGAACGGAAAGGCCCUGCUUGUGUGGGGUGCUCGAGUGGCGAACGGGUGAGAAACACGAGAGUAACCUGCCCUUGACUUUGGGAUAACUUCAGGAAACUGGGGAUAAUACCGGAUAGGAGCUCCUGCUGCAUGGUGGGGGUUGGAAAGUUUCGGCGGUUGGGGAUGGACUCGCGGCUUAUCAGCUUGUUGGUGGGGUAGUGGCUUACCAAGGCUUUGACGGGUAGCCGGCCUGAGAGGGUGACCGGCCACAUUGGGACUGAGAUACGGCCCGGACUCCUACGGGAGGCAGCAGUGGGGAAUAUUGCACAAUGGGCGGAAGCCUGAUGCAGCAACGCCGCGUGCGGGAUGACGGCCUUCGGGUGGUAAACCGUUUUCGCCUGUGACGAAGCGUGAGUGACGGUAAUGGGUAAAGAAGCACCGGCUAACUACGUG
rnacentral:rRNA from 1 species